AUGAACGCUGGCGGCGUGCCUAAUACCUGCCAGUCGAGCGAACGGACGAGAAGCUUGCUUCUCUGAUGUUAGCGGCGGACGGGUGAGUAACACGUGGAUAACCUACCUAUAAGACUGGGAUAACUUCGGGAAACCGUAGCUAAUACCGGAUAAUAUUUUUAACCGCAUGGUUCAAAAGUGAAAGACGGUCUUGCUGUCACUUAUAGAUGGAUCCGCGCUGCAUUAGCUAGUUGGUAAGGUAACGGCUUACCAAGGCAACGAUGCAUAGCCGACCUGAGAGGGUGAUCGGCCACACUGGAACUGAGACACGGUCCAGACUCCUACGGGAGGCAGCAGUAGGGAAUCUUCCGCAAUGGGCGAAAGCCUGACGGAGCAACGCCGCGUGAGUGAUGAAGGUCUUCGGAUCGUAAAACUCUGUUAUUAGGGAAGAACAUAUGUGUAAGUAACUGUGCACAUCUUGACGGUACCUAAUCAGAAAGCCACGGCUAACUACGUG
rnacentral:rRNA from 1 species